rnacentral:rRNA from 1 species
UACGAAGGGGGCGAGCGUUGUUCGGAAUUACUGGGCGUAAAGGGCGCGUAGGCGGCGACUCAAGUUAGAUGUGAAAGUCCUGGGCUUAACCUGGGGACUGCAUUUGAUACUGAAUAGCUAGGGUACGGUAGAGGGAAGCGGAAUUUCCGGUGUAGCGGUGAAAUGCGUAGAUAUCAGGAGGAACACCGGUGGCGAAGGCGGUUCUCUGGGCAUUACCUGACGGCUGGAGGAGCGAAAAGUGUGGGAGCGAACAGG